rnacentral:rRNA from 1 species
GACGAACGCUGGCGGCGUGCUUAACACAUGCAAGUCGAACGGUAAGGCCCUUCGGGGUACACGAGUGGCGAACGGGUGAGUAACACGUGGGUGAUCUGCCUUGCACUUCGGGAUAAGCCUGGGAAACUGGGUCUAAUACCGGAUAGGACCUCUGGCUGCAUGGGGGGUGGGGAAAGCUGUUGCGGUGUGGGAUGGGCCCGCGGCCUAUCAGCUUGUUGGUGGGGUGAUGGCCUACCAAGGCGACGACGGGUAGCCGGCCUGAGAGGGUGACCGGCCACACUGGGACUGAGAUACGGCCCAGACUCCUACGGGAGGCAGCAGUGGGGAAUAUUGCACAAUGGGCGCAAGCCUGAUGCAGCGACGCCGCGUGAGGGAUGACGGCCUUCGGGUUGUAAACCUCUUUCAGCACCGACGAAGCGCAAGUGACGGUAGGUGCAGAAGAAGGACCGGCCAACUACGUGCCAGCCGCCGCAGUAA